rnacentral:rRNA from 1 species
CCUACGGGAGGCAGCAGUCGAGAAUCUUUCACAAUGGGGGAAACCCUGAUGGUGCGACGCCGCGUGGGGGAAUGAAGGUCUUCGGAUUGUAAACCCCUGUCAUGUGGGAGCAAAUUAAAAAGAUAGUACCACAAGAGGAAGAGACGGCUAACUCUGUGCCAGCAGCCGCGGUAAUACAGAGGUCUCAAGCGUUGUUCGGAAUCACUGGGCGUAAAGCGUGCGUAGGCUGUUUCGUGAGUCGUGUGGGAAAGUGGCGGGGUCAAACCGGGGACGGAACAUGAUACUGCGGGAUUAGAGUAAUGGAGGGGGAACCGGAAUUCGCGGUGUAGCAGUGAAAUGCGUAGAUAUCGAGAGGAACACUCGUGGCGAAGGCAGGUUCCUGGACAUUAACUGACGCUGAGGCACGAAGGCCAGGGGAGCGAAAGGGAUUAGAUACCCCAGUAGUC